UAAUUCCAAACAAGCAUGUUAUUUUCCUAGUAAAAUAAUUUGGCUAUUAAUCCAAAUGGUCAAUUAUUAGUACUGUUAUGGUUUUAAUAAAAUAAUUGGCAGCAGGUUGCAAGUUAGUGAUUAUCUCAUGGAGAUGUAAUUAGCCCAAGGUGCUGAUUCAUGUUCUCAUCUCAAAAAGGCCAAUAACAUGAUUAAUCACGUUGGCAUUAUGGUGGUUACUGUUCAGUUUUGCUUUUGGUAUUUCCUUUGCAUAAAUCAGUUGGAAACAACUCACACUUCAAAAAUUAAAUGAGCCAAUUCACUUCAUUUUGAGAAGUAACGGCUUGACAAUCAAAUGGAGAGAUUCUUAAUUGCUAUUGCCCCAUUCAACUGGAAAUGAAAUGCAUGCGUAGUGAUUGUGUGAAUGAUAACAGCUACAUGGGAGAAUGAAAGUUGUA
rnacentral:lncRNA from 1 species